rnacentral:lncRNA from 1 species
CCAGUUGCAUUAUAUCGCUUUGCAGACAUACCUGGGGAAUCUGUGUUUCUUGAAUUUUUAGUUUUUAUUUAAACGGGAUCUCUCGAAACUCGAGAUACGUACGAGGACGAGGACUAUUCUGCAAAUUCUUGGAUAACUUCAAAUGGAGAGCAUUUUUUACGUUCAUGGUUAUAUUAUUCAAGAAGUAUUUGUUCUAAAUUAUUUUACACAGAUAAAGUCAAGUGGUCCUCAGCAACAACAGGCGAUUUUAACUGGAAACAUAAAUAUAAUGAUGGCAGCUUGAAAAUCAAGGAGCAUUUUAUUAGCUACCAAGAAAUUGGAAAAUCUUAUUGUAAUCCUCGUAAAACAAACUGGGACUGGGAAGCAUAUCAAGAAGAAUUGCAACGUUGAACACUGGACUUAGAUAUUAUGACCACCAAACAAUUUCAAGAGAUGUCAUG